CUGGUGAUAAAAUGACAGUCACCUACACCACCAAGGUUUCCAACACUAGUUUUCUGCGGAUUUUCCAAGCUUCUAUUCAGAUGGCGCGGCAGUGUGUUCAAGCUGCUCGCCGCUGACCUCAUUGUUUACUUCCUGCUUUAUUUCUCCGUGGCCGCCAUCUACAGAUUCGCCUUGCGGGAGAACGAGAAGAGAGUGUUUGAGAAGAUCGCCAUAACGUGUGAAUACUUCCGCAACGUGUUCCCUAUCUCUUUCGUGCUGGGUUUCUACGUGACAAUCGUGGUGCAGCGGUGGUGGGAGCAGUACAUGCUGAUCCCCUGGCCCGACACCGUGUGCAUCAUGGCCUCCACUUACAUAGAGGGCCAGGAGCUUCUGAGGAUGGCUUAAGACAGAGUUCUAUGUCACAACAAGAGUGUCACUGGCCAAAGGAAACACACACGAGAAAAAAGAAUCCCACUGAGAUGCUAGUCCCAAAAGAGAUGUCAAGAGAAUCAUCGAAAGUUGAAGGAUAAGUGUCUUGAAACCUCCCCUCUUGAAAGGGUUGAAGACAUAGGAAAGUAGAAAUACAGAAGCAGGCAGGGAGCUCCAGAGUUUACCGGAGAAAGGGAUGAAUGAUUGAGAAUACUGGUUAACUCCUGCAUUAAGGGGGUGGACAGAAUAGGGAUGAAAGAAAGAAGAGUCUUGUGUAGCGAGACGGCGGAAGGAGGGGAGGCGAUGAGAAAGAGGCUGAAGACAGUCAGUUAGAGAAAGGAAUUGAUAAGGCAAAAAGCUUUCGAUUUCACCCUGUCUAAAAUAGCGGCAUCAGCGAACCUCCCCAUAUAUGUGAAGCAUACUCCAUACAUGGACGGAUAAGGCCUCUGGACAGAGUUAGUAGCUGGGGAUGAGGAGGGAGGGAGAAAUACUGGCGGCGAUAACUCAGAACGCCUAACUUCACAGAAGAUGUUUUAGCUAGAGAUGAGAUGUGAAGCUUCCAGUUUAGGUUAUAAGUAAAGGACAGACCAAGGAUGUUCAGUGUAGAAGAGGGGGACAGUUGAGUGUCAUUGAAGAAGAGGAAAUAGUUGUCUGGAAGGUUGUGUCUAACUGAUAGAUUGAGAAACUGAGUUUUUGAGGCGUUGAACAAUACUAAGUUUGCUCUUCCCCAACCCUCAGGAACACCACUGUUUAGUAGAACAGUGGCCGUCUUCCACAGCAGCAAUAGAACGAUCAGAAAGAAAACUUGAAAUGAAGUUACAGAGAGAAGGAUAGAAGCCGUAGGAGGCUGAUUUGGAAAUCAAAGCUUUGUUCCAGACUGUAUCAAAAGCUUUAGGUAUGUCUACAGCAACACCAAAAGUUUCACCAAAAUCCCUAAAAGAGGAUGACCAAGACUCAGUAAGGAAAACCAAAAGAUCACUAGUAGAGCGGCAUCGACGGAAUCCAUACUGGUGUUCAGGUAGAAGGUUGUGAAGUGAUACAUGUUUAAAAAUUUUCUUGUUGAGGAUAGAUUAAAAAACUUUAGAGAAGCAGGAAUAUAAAACAAUAGGACGGUAGUUUGAGGGAUUAGAACGGUCACCCUUUUUAGGAACAGGCUGAAUGUAGACAAACUUCCAGCAAGAAGGAAAGGUAGAUGU